AUACUCACCUGGCAGGGAAGACAGGAUGGUCAGGAAGGAAGGUGGUUUUCCCAGGACGAGGCUUAUCCAUUACACUCCGGGUGUGUUAACCCUUAGGAUUUCCUCAAAUGUGGCAAACUACCCUGCAGAAUUCGUAGUAGUAGGGGACUGAGUUCAUGCUCUCCUUUG
ensembl:snRNA U1 U1 spliceosomal RNA